ensembl:lncRNA
CACCCAUGUGUGACGGGAGGUUGUCUCUCUCCUGGCCGCUGUUGGGCGCCGUGCCAGCGGUGCGAGCACCGUAAUUGCUGGGCGGUACCAUGCGCCCUUUAUAUUCAGGUGUGCAGCGAUGGCGCUUCCUGUCCUUCGCUCCCUGCUUGCUUCCGUGGUGGCUGUGGUUUGGCAUGACGGCGUUGGUGGACGCAGCCGUUCUCUGGUGUAUCCAGCUGUUGUGAUUGCCGUCAAGGCGCGCUGUCUGAAUACCGUGGCUGAGUGCUGGGGUGAAUUCCCCGGGGUGAAGCGGGGAUCUGCUGGAGCCCUGCUGGGCAUAGGAUCACAGGCUCGCUCUGGGUGUGUGUGUGUGCGCGCGUGUGUGUGAGCCGUAUUCUUGUGGCUCACAUCCUCCACUUGCCAGUUAACAGCCCGGCGUAAUCGGACUGCCACCAUCACUUCAAGUUGAGCUGCUGUUUUGGUUCUCUUUAAUAUUUGUCUGGUGAACUGUUCGUGUUUUUUUUUUUUUUUUUUUUUUUUUUGAUUUUGUUUGUUUGCUGCGGCUUGGAGCGGACUUCUCAGAGUAAGGUAAAGUUGGCAAGAUAUUCACAGAUUCGGACUUCCGGCAUCAAUAACUCAUGAGAUAUACGUUGUAAAAACAUAAACAAUACCUCUUUCAAAUCGCUAAGCUAGACAAUGUACUACAAGGCCAGUUUUAUCAAAAGUCGCUGUCUUUCAAGCUGCAGAAAUGACUGUCUAGCUUACAGCGAUUUGAAAGGGGUAUUGUUUAUGUUUUUACAACGUAUAUCUCAUUAGUUAUUGAUGCCGGAAGUCCGAAUCUGUGAAUUUCUUGCCAACUUUACCUAACUACUUCUCAGCCCAGCACGGCUGAGUGCCGUCUGCGUCCGCUCCGUGCAGAGGCUGGUUGUGUUGCUGCUGUGCCAGAACUUGUACAGCUGCAAGGGCUACUUCAGUUGAUGGUGUUUUGUUUUCUUUGUUAUUUGGAAAUUAAUUCAGGUAUUUCCUUUUGGUGUCUUGGUUUGCUUUGUUGCAUUAGUUGGUUUAAUUGUCUUUUCUUGUUUUCUUUGUGAGUUUAUUCAGCCUCAUUUAUUGAUUUAAUUCAUCAUUUAUUGUUCUUUGGUUUUGUUCUCUUUUGUCCACACCGGUUAUGGUUAGUUUGGGCACGUUUUAUUAAUCUUUCUUUUGUUUACAGGUGCUGUGGCUUACUGCAGCAGUUACUCCCUGGUGGUGGUGUCUUCUUCACGGUCCCCCCCUUUUUUUUGGUUUUGUGUGUGUGUGUGUGUAUUAUUUGCAGUGUCACAGGUGAUUCAUUUGAGGAUUCCUCUCCCCUUUUGGUUAUCCUGCCGCAGGGUAAGCCCCAGCCCGGGUUUUUAUUCCUUGUUGCCCAUUCUUUCUUUUAGUUAGUAUAUGUUAACAUAUACUAACUAACUGUGUGACAUUACUUCUUUCCUCAUAAUUUGUUAAUAAACAUUGUUAAAUUGGAACACGUCUCGCCCCCCUGUGUUAAUGGAACCUGUUGAGCCUUAAUUGGUUUAGUGACAGUGAAACACACCCGAGCUAGGAUUUCCUGGGUGCAGGUCCCAGGUGGCGUUGUUGGGACCAUAAUUGGUCUAAUUGGCUACAAACAUUCCUCGAAUUUCGCCACACACGGCUCGUUGCUUCAGCCUUCCGUCAGUGUUAGCGGUGACAAAGCCGAUUCUUCUGCUAAUAACACCUCCAUUCAGUGCCAUGGUCCCACUUGUCCCAAUUGAUCGGGUAAUAGCUCAUCCAGCACAUCCUACAGUACUUACCUUGGCCUGUUUGAGAAAGAAUGCCUCUCUGAUGAUCCAGAUCUCCAGGAAGCCAUUUCAAGGUCUUUAGAUUCCAGUACAAGUGAGAAUGAUUUAAAGAUGACUUUGGAGAGACUGAUGGAGCAGAUUGCUUCUCAAGUGAAUGAUAACACUGUACGCUUCAAUAUUAUGAGAAGGAAUGUGUGGGAUGGAGCAUCCAGAGCCAUGGGCAGAUCCAAUUUUUCACCGGAAAAGAAGAUAGAUGUCAAUUUUACUGAUGACUAUGGAACAUCUGAGGAUGCUGUGGACAAUGGAGGACCUACGCGGGAGUUCUUCCGACUCUGCCUACAUGAAAUAAAGGACAAAAUUGGCAUCUUUGAGGGUCUAUCCAAUGCUAAAGUUCUCACAUGCAAUUUGAAAGCAAUGAAAGAAAAUGGAUACUUCUAUGCU